rnacentral:rRNA from 1 species
GUUGGAAAUUUAUUUUCAGUGUCGCAGGGAAACCGAUAAACACACCGCCUGGGGAGUACGACCGCAAGGUUAAAACUCAAAUGAAUUGACGGGGACCCGCACAAGUAGUGGAGCAUGUGGUUUAAUUCGAAGAUACGCGCAGAACCUUACCGACACUUGACAUGUUCGUCGCGACUCUAAGAGAUUAGAGUUUUCGGUUCGGCCGGACGAAACACAGGUGCUGCAUGGCUGUCGUCAGCUCGUGUCGUGAGAUGUUGGGUUAAGUCCCGCAACGAGCGCAACCCUCACUUUUAGUUGCCAUCAUUAAGUUGGGCACUCUGAAAGAACUGCCAGUGAUAAGCUGGAGGAAGGUGGGGAUGACGUCAAGUCCUCAUGGCCCUUACGUGUUGGGCUACACACGUGCUACAAUGGCAUCUACAACAGGAAGCAAAACGGCAACGUUAAGCAAAUCCCGAAAAGAUGCCUCAGUUCGGAUUGCACUCUGCAACUCGAGUGCAUGAAGCUGGAAUUACUAGUAAUCGUGGAUCAGCGAGCCACGGUGAAUGCGUUCCCGGGUCUUGUACACACCGCCCGUCACACCAUGGGAGUUGGUUCUACCUUAAGGCAAGGUUUUAAACCCUUGACCACGGUAUGGUCAGCGACUGGGGUG